rnacentral:RNase_P_RNA from 2 species
UAAGUCAGAUGGAUGAUUACUCUGCUAAAAAUAAGCAGAGAGGAAAGUCCGGACUCCUUAAAAAAGAUGGUGGCUAACGGCCACGGGGCGCAAGCCUACGGAAAGUGCCACAGAGACAAUACUAGCCGGCAAAAAUGUCGGUGAAAGGUGAAAAGUUUUUAGAUGUUAUUGGUUGCUCGGGAUAUCCAUUUAACCAAUGGCUACUAAGAUCGCUUUCGUGUGAACGAAAUGCGUGGUAAACCCCAUCUGGAGCAAGAGCAAACCUGUCAAGCAAAAAUAUGCCUUAAUAAGAUAAGACAAUUUUAUUGAUUUAUCUUGUUGUGACACGGCUCGAUAGAUGAAAAGUGGCUCGCGCGAGCCUAUUGGCAACAAUAGGCCAAGAUAGAUGAUCAUCAUCCUAAAAAAUAGGAUACAGAAUCCGGCUUAUAGCCUGGCUUAAUGA